AGUUUGAUCCUGGCUCGGGACGAACGCUGGCGGCGUGCCUAAUACAUGCAAGUCGAGCGAGCUUGCCUAGAUGAUUUUGGUGCUUGCACUAAAUGAAACUAGAUACAAGCGAGCGGCGGACGGGUGAGUAACACGUGGGUAACCUGCCCAAGAGACUGGGAUAACACCUGGAAACAGAUGCUAAUACCGGAUAACAACACUAGACGCAUGUCUAGAGUUUGAAAGAUGGUUCUGCUAUCACUCUUGGAUGGACCUGCGGUGCAUUAGCUAGUUGGUAAGGUAACGGCUUACCAAGGCAAUGAUGCAUAGCCGAGUUGAGAGACUGAUCGGCCACAUUGGGACUGAGACACGGCCCAAACUCCUACGGGAGGCAGCAGUAGGGAAUCUUCCACAAUGGACGAAAGUCUGAUGGAGCAACGCCGCGUGAGUGAAGAAGGGUUUCGGCUCGUAAAGCUCUGUUGGUAGUGAAGAAAGAUAGAGGUAGUAACUGGCCUUUAUUUGACGGUAAUUACUUAGAAAGUCACGGCUAACUACGUGCCAGCAGCCGCGGUAAUACGUAGGUGGCAAGCGUUGUCCGGAUUUAUUGGGCGUAAAGCGAGUGCAGGCGGUUCAAUAAGUCUGAUGUGAAAGCCUUCGGCUCAACCGGAGAAUUGCAUCAGAAACUGUUGAACUUGAGUGCA
rnacentral:rRNA from 1 species